GACGAACGCUGGCGGCGUGCCUAAUACAUGCAAGUCGAACGGAGCGGCGGACGGGCGAGUAAUGCAUAGGAAUCUGCCUUGUCGUGGGUGAUAACGUCCGGAAUGGGGCCCUAAUACCGCAUCCUAUCAGAUGAGCCUAUGGCGUAUUGGCUGGUUGGUGGGGUAAAGGCCUAACAAGGCGACGAUCCGUAUCUGGUUUGAGAGGAUGAGCAGUCACACUGGAACUGAGAGACGGUCCAGCCUCCUACGGGAGGCAGCAGGGGGGAAUAUGGGACAAUGGGCGAAAGCCUGAUCCAGCCAUGCCGCGUGUGUGAAGAAGGUCUUCGGAUUGUAAAGCACUUUAAGUUGGGAGGCGUUACCAACAGAAUAAGCACCGGCUAACUUCGUGCCAGCAGCCGCGGUAAUAC
rnacentral:rRNA from 1 species